AGCGAACGCUGGCGGCAGGCUUAACACAUGCAAGUCGAGCGCCCCGCAAGGGGAGCGGCAGUCGGGAGAGUAACACGUGGGAACAUACCUUUUGGUUCGGAACAACUGAGGGAAACUUCAGCUAAUACCGGAUAAGCCCUUACGGGGAAAGAUUUAUCGCCGAAAGAUUGGCCCGCGUCUGAUUAGCUAGUUGGUGAGGUAACGGCUCACCAAGGCGACGAUCAGUAGCUGGUCUGAGAGGAUGAUCAGCCUCACUGGGACUGAGACACGGCCCAGACUCCUACGGGAGGCAGCAGUGGGGAAUAUUGGACAAUGGGGGCAACCCUGAUCCAGCCAUGCCGCGUGAGUGAUGAAGGCCUUAGGGUUGUAAAGCUCUUUUGCCCGGGAAGAUAAUGACGGUACCGGGAGAAUAAGCCCCGGCUAACUUCGUG
rnacentral:rRNA from 1 species